GGGCCCUCGGAGUGAAAUAUGGAAAAAAAUUCAAGAUGGCUGCGUUAUUAGAACCAAUUGUUGUGGAAUUUCUUGAUUUAAUUGAUGAAGUAUUUCCAGAAAAUGAAGAAAGAAACGUUGCCAGGGAUCCACGUCGGUAUUUGAGGGAUUUUGAAAAUUCACGAGAGUGGUUUAGUGACGUGCAGUUCAAACGACGAUAUCGUUUUACCAAGGAUGUUGUUCGGCAUCACAUUCUGCCUUUGCUAGUGUUUGAAGAACCACGGAGUCGUCGAGGAUUACCGCUACCGCCUUUCCUGCAGCUGCUAAUUGCCUUGCGAUUUUACGCAACAGGCAGUUUCCAGAUGGUGACAGACGGUAGCGAGUCCACAGUUUCCCGAAUGAUCAGACGUAUCUCUGUCGGUUUAGCGCAACAUGCACGACAUCUGAUACGGUUUCCCACUGGCGAUGAAUUUCGAUUGAACAAGCUACGAUUUUAACACUUUCCCGGUGUUACAGGAGUGACUGCACCCACAUUAAAAUCAAGACCCCCGGCGGUGCUCGGGGGGAAGUAUACAGCUUAUUCGAAGAUGGGCGUGUGCAGGGACUGCUGCUGGGAGACAGUGGUUACCCACAGUUGCCAUACCUGUUCACGUACAGAUGCAGAGCAGAGGCCAACAAUGAUGUGCCAAUCCCACCAGUUCCUCUUCGACCUGGGCGCGCCAUGGCCAUCAGGAACGAGUUCAUCAUCCGGCA